rnacentral:rRNA from 1 species
GACAGAGGGGGCAAGCGUUGCUCGGAAUUACUGGGCGUAAAGGGCGCGUAGGCGGGAUGGUAAGCCGGUCGUGAAAUCCCUCGGCUCAACCGAGGAACGUCGAUCGAUACUACCGUUCUUGAGGAUUGCAGAGGAGACUGGAAUUCCCGGUGUAGCGGUGAAAUGUGUAGAGAUCGGGAGGAACACCGGUGGCGAAGGCGGGGUCUCUGGGCAAUUCCUGACGCUGAGGCGCGAAAGCGUGGGGAGCAAACGGG